rnacentral:rRNA from 1 species
ACUACGGGAGGCAGCAGUGAGGAAUAUUGGUCAAUGGACGAGAGUCUGAACCAGCCAAGUAGCGUGAAGGAUGACUGCCCUAUGGGUUGUAAACUUCUUUUAUAUGGGAAUAAAAUGUUCCACGUGUGGGAUUUUGUAUGUAACAUAUGAAUAAGGAUCGGCUAAAUCCGUGCCAGCAGCCGCGGUAAUACGGAGGGAUCGCACGUUAUCCGGAUUUAUUGGGGUUAAAGGGAGCGUAGGAGGAGUGUUAAAGCAGUUGGUAAAGUUUGCGGCGCAAACGUCACAUUGCAGUUGAAACUGGCAGUCUUGAGUACAGGAGAGGUGUGCGGAAUGCGUGGUGUAGCGGUGAAAUGCUUAGAUAUCACGAAGAACUCCGAUUGCGAAGGCAGUUCACUGGACUGCAACUGACACUGAGGCUCGAAAGUGUGGGUAUCAAACAGGAUUAGAUACCCUUGUAGUC